rnacentral:lncRNA from 1 species
GGGCAACUAAAACUCCAAUGUCACAGAAAAGAAAAGCAGAGUCAGCUACUGAGAGCUCUGGAAAGAAGGAUGUCAAGAAGGUGAAAUCCUAAAGCCUAGAAAUAAAGUUUUAAAUGGGAAACUGCUAUUUUCUUGUUCCCAUCUUCAAAUGCUAAUUGCCAGUUCCAGUGUAUUCAUGGUACUCUAAGAAAAAUCUCUUUGGUUUUGAUUUCUUGCAUAUUUUAUAUAUUUUACAAUGCUUUCUACCUGAAAUGUGUAGCUUUAUAUUUUAUGGCAUUCUAGUAUUUUUGUGUACUGUAUUUUGUGCAUUUCAUGUCUUCAUCAAAAUCCUCUCAGUCCUUGUUCUUUUGAAGCUUGUGCUGAGGUUUUAGCUUUUCUAUGUUUUAUAUGCCGCUGCUUUGAAAGAGAACCUAGAUUCUAUAGUUGUAUUAUUGUUGUUUCAUACUUUAAAUUUAUAUGGCUGUGGAAAAACGAAUUAAAAUGUUUUGAGGAGAAAGACUUUUUCACUUCUUUGUUGCUUUCUUUUCUAUUGAGUCUGGGCUUGUUUGUGUUACUGCAUACUGUGAUUAGCAUAAUAAUUGUUUCUUUGAGGUCAUCUAAAUAUUUUUUUCCUAAAGGAAUAAAGGGUGAGGAAAGAAAAAUAUUAAAAAAGCUAAUAUUUGAUACUGUGCUUGCUGUCAGUAUGCAUUACAUUUAAAUUAUUCUCUAUUCAAGUGGGAAAAUAUAAUAAAGAAAUGUCUAU